rnacentral:rRNA from 1 species
GACGUAGGGCGCGAGCGUUGUCCGGAUUUAUUGGGCGUAAAGAGCUCGUAGGCGGCUUGGCAAGUCGGGUGUGAAAACUCCAGGCUCAACCUGGAGACGCCACCCGAUACUGCCAUGGCUAGAGUCCGGUAGGGGACCACGGAAUUCCUGGUGUAGCGGUGAAAUGCGCAGAUAUCAGGAGGAACACCGGUGGCGAAGGCGGUGGUCUGGGCCGGAACUGACGCUGAGGAGCGAAAGCGUGGGGAGCGAACAGG